rnacentral:rRNA from 1 species
GAUCAUGGCUCAGGAUGAACGCUGGCUACAGGCUUAACACAUGCAAGUCGAGGGGCAGCAUGAACUUAGCUUGCUAAGUUUGGUGGCGACCGGCGCACGGGUGAGUAACGCGUAUCCAACCUACCCUUGUCCAUCGGAUAACCCGUCGAAAGGCGGCCUAACACGAUAUGCGGUUCACCGCAGGCAUCUAACGUGAACGAAAUGUGAAGGAGAAGGAUGGGGAUGCGUCUGAUUAG